rnacentral:rRNA from 1 species
CUCGUAGGCGGUUUGUCGCGUCUGCUGUGAAACCCCGAGGCUCAACCUCGGGCCUGCAGUGGGUACGGGCAGACUAGAGUGCGGUAGGGGAGAUUGGAAUUCCUGGUGUAGCGGUGGAAUGCGCAGAUAUCAGGAGGAACACCGAUGGCGAAGGCAGAUCUCUGGGCCGUAACUGACGCUGAGGAGCGAAAGGGUGGGGAGCAAACAGGCUUAGAUACCCUGGUAGUCCACCCCGUAAACGUUGGGAACUA